GCUUAGUUUCUUACCUCAAUGACAAUCUUAUUCUCAUAUGUGGUGACACUCAAUGAUAAAAUGGGAUCUGUUGUAAAGCACAUACUUGGAGUCACUCAUUUGUGAAAAUAAACGUGAUGUGGGAUUAUCUGGGAUCACAUCAGAAUGUCUUGGCCAAAAUUCUAAGAUAACCAAAGAGGAGGUGAAUUUGGUUUUUAAAAUUUCAAAUUCUUAAGCAAUUACUCAAUUUUCUUUAUAUUUAAUAUUUUUCCUAAAGUGGAUGAACUUCUUUAUGUGAAUAUUUUACUAAUUGAUGUGUAAAAUAUAUGAAAACUAGUAAAAAUCUCAUUUUUUAAUAAAAUCUUUUAGAAUGAUAAAGGUCAUUAUGAAUGAAUGAUAAUGAAGAACUUGCUUUGUAAACAAACACUCAAGUUUAUAUGUGGAGUGUGACCUAAAAUGAGAUAUCAAACUGUAUUGAGCAAUAUAUCAAAGAUAAGUUAAAAGAGAAAAAGAAAUGCAAACUCAUUUAUAGAGGUCUGGCUGAUCACUUACAUCUAUGUUAUUUUUUUUUCAAGUUAACC
rnacentral:lncRNA from 1 species